AAUAUACAAGGUAGCUGCAUGGUUGUCGUCCAGCUCGUGCCGUGAGGUGUCGGGUUAAGUCCCAUAACGAGCGCAACCCCUAUCAUUAGUGCCAUCAGGUCAAGCUGGGGACUCUAAUGAAACUGCCUACGCAAGUAGUGAGGAAGUGGGGAUGACGUCAAAUCAGCACGGCCCUUACGUCCAGGGCUACACACGUGCUACAAUGGCCGGUACAAAGGGCAGCUACCUGGUGACAGGAUGCUAAUCUCAAAAGCCGGUCUCAGUUCGGAUCGGAGUCUGCAACCCGACUCCGUGAAGCUGGGAUCGCUAGUAAUCGCGCAUCAGCCAUGGCGCGGUGAAUACGUUCCCGGGCCUU
rnacentral:rRNA from 1 species